ensembl:snRNA U1 U1 spliceosomal RNA
AUACUUACCUGGCAGGGGAGACACCUUGAUCACGAAGAAGGUUUUCCCAGGGUGAGACACAUCCGGGUGUGCUGACCUCUGCGAUUUCCCCAAAUACAGGAAAUUUGACUGCAUUACUUAUCUUGGAGCCCCCGAUGGUGCAGCGGGUUA